GCAAAACGCGAAGAACCUUACCCACCUUUGACAUGGCAGGAACUUACCAGAGAUGGUUUGGUGCUCGAAAGAGAACCUGCACACAGGUGCUGCAUGGCUGUCGUCAGCUCGUGUCGUGAGAUGUUGGGUUAAGUCCCGCAACGAGCGCAACCCUUGCCAUUAGUUGCUACAUUCAGUUGAGCACUCUAAUGGGACUGCCGGUGACAAGCCGGAGGAAGGUGGGGAUGACGUCAAGUCCUCAUGGCCCUUAUAGGUGGGGCUACACACGUCAUACAAUGGCUGGUACAAAGGGUUGCCAACCCGCGAGGGGAGGCUAAUACCCACUAAAGACCAGUCGUAGUCCGGACUCGCAGUCUGCAACUACGACUGCGUGAAGUCGGAAUCGCUAGUAAUCGUGGAUCAGAAUGUCACGGUGAAUACGUUCCCGGGUCGUUGUACACACCG
rnacentral:rRNA from 1 species